rnacentral:rRNA from 1 species
UACGGAGGGUGCAAGCGUUAUCCGGAUUCACUGGGUUUAAAGGGAGCGUAGGUGGCUUUGUAAGUCAGUGGUGAAAUCUUAGAGCUUAACUCUAAAACUGCCAUUGAUACUGCUUAGCUUGAAUCACGUCGAGGUGGAUGGAAUAUUACAUGUAGCGGUGAAAUGCUUAGAUAUGUAAUAGAACACCGAUUGCGAAGGCAGUUCACUAGGCGUGUAUUGACACUGAGGCUCGAAAAGCGUGGGGGAUCAAACAGG